UGGGAGUGCAGGUGCUGUUCUAACCCUGGUGUGGAGAGAUGCCAUGUCGCUUGUAGGAUGACAGAGUCUGGGCUUCAUCAGCAGAACGUUUGCUGCUCUCCAUCUUUGAGACCACAGAUCGAGUCCUCUGGGGCCCAAAGAGGCUGCAUGUGUCUCUGCUCCUGCUCUCCUCCAACUGUGCAAUCUGGUUCCUGUGUCCAAGCUGGAGUGGGUGUUCCUCAAGCAGGAGUCACAUCUGAUGCUGAAUCUGGCAAAAGGAGAUGUUCGGCUGAAGAGCAUUCACCUUGAGCUGAUGCAGGCUUGAAUCUUCAAGCUGCAUUUGCUGAAAAUUCAUUGCCACAGUUGAUUUCACC